rnacentral:misc_RNA from 1 species
CUUUUUUUUUUCUCAUGCUGUCUAUAGAGAGGGAGAAGCUGAAAGUGUUCCAAAGAGAUCAUCAGAAGAAAAAUGGGGCAAAAGGCAGAGACUCCUGUGCCUAGAGUAGCUGUGGUAGUCUUCCUGUUGAAAGGGAAAUCGGUGCUGCUGGGGCGACGCCGCUCCUCCAUCGGUGACUCUACCUUUGCCCUUCCUGGCGGUCACCUAGAGUUUGGGGAGAGCUUUGAGGAAUGUGGGGCAAGAGAGAUGAAAGAGGAAACAGGUUUGGAUAUUUCCAAAAUAGAAUUUCUAACGGUCACCAACAACCCCUGCCUGGAGGAACCAAGGCCAUCACAUUAUGUUACCAUCUUUCUUCGUGCAAUCUUGGCCGACCCCAAUCAAGUGCCCCAAAAUCUUGAGCCUGAGAAGUGCUAUGGUUGGGAAUGGUAUGAUUGGGACAACCUCCCAAAACCAUUGUUUGGACCAUUGGAAAAAAUGGCACGGAGCGGCUUCUUUCCUUUCCCAACUGACUAUAAUAUUUGAUGAGGGGAUGAAUGGUGUUACCAGCUUAUGGCUAUCAUCACAUUGAUACCAAGGGUAUAAAAUUCAGGACUUUUGGUAUCUGUAUUGGAUUUGGAAGAUUUUCUUGAAUGCUAUUGCUGAAUCUUUUUGUUAAAUUAUAUGAAGGAGCAGCAAAGUUUAAGUUUGUUAUUCAUAUGGUCUUAGAAUUUCUCCAUGCUCCAUAGCCUGAUAUUCUAGUUUAGAGUAUGAAACCAGGAGCUGUCCACAACUCCUUUCAAAUUGUAAUAGGACACGAGCCAUUAAUA